AGAGUUUGAUCCUGGCUCAGGACGAACGCUGGCGGCGUGCUUAAUACAUGCAAGUCGAACGGAGCCUAGCCGAUAGGUUUCACUUAUUGGCGAAAGCUUAGUGGCGGACGGGUGAGUAACGCGUGGGCAAUCUGCCCCUAAGUCCGGGAUAACAGAGCGAAAGUUCUGCUAAGACCGGAUACACUUCUCUGGUCGCAUGGCCUAGGAAGGAAAGGUUAACGCUUAGGGAUGAGCCCGCGUCCCAUUAGCUAGUUGGUGAGGUAACGGCCCACCAAGGCGACGAUGGGUAGCCGGCCUGAGAGGGUGGACGGCCACACUGGGACUGAGACACGGCCCAGACUCCUACGGGAGGCAGCAGUAGGGAAUUUUCGGCAAUGGGCGAAAGCCUGACCGAGCAACGCCGCGUGAGGGAAGAAGGUCUUCGGAUCGUAAACCUUUGUCAUCGGGGACGAUGAUGACGGUACCCGAGGAGGAAGCCCCGGCUAACUACGUGCCAGCAGCCGCGGUAAU
rnacentral:rRNA from 1 species